rnacentral:rRNA from 1 species
ACGAACGCUGGCGGCAUGCCUAACACAUGCAAGUCGCACGAGACCUUCGGGUCUAGUGGCGCACGGGUGCGUAACGCGUGGGAACCUGCCCUUAGGUUCGGAAUAACUCCCCGAAAGGGGUGCUAAUACCGGAUAAUGUCUUCGGACCAAAGAUUUAUCGCCUUUGGAUGGGCCCGCGUUGGAUUAGCUAGUUGGUAGGGUAAAAGCCUACCAAGGCGACGAUCCAUAGCUGGUCUGAGAGGAUGACCGGCCACACUGGGACUGAGACACGGCCCAGACUCCUACGGGAGGCAGCAGUGGGGAAUAUUGGACAAUGGGCGAAAGCCUGAUCCAGCAAUGCCGCGUGAGUGAUGAAGGCCUUAGGGUUGUAAAGCUCUUUUACCCGGGAUGAUAAUGACAGUACCGGGAGAAUAAGCUCCGGCUAACUCCGUG